CCCUUAGAUGUCCGGGGCCGCACGCGCGCUACACUGAAGGAAUCAGCGUGGCUUUCUCCCUGACCCGAAAGGGUUGGGAAACCCGUUGAAUCUCCUUCGUGAUAGGGAUUGGGGCUUGAAAUUGUUCCCCAUGAACGAGGAAUUCCCAGUAAGCGCGAGUCAUAAGCUCGCGUUGAUUACGUCCCUGCCCUUUGUACACACCGCCCGUCGCUACUACCGAUUGAACGGUUUAGUGAGGGCCUCGGAUUGGUCUCGGCCCGCUCUUUAGCGGGCGGCGCCGUUGGUCGAGAAGACGCUCGAACUUGAUCGUUUAGAGGAAGUAAAAGUCGUAACA
rnacentral:rRNA from 1 species